rnacentral:rRNA from 1 species
CGCUGGCGGCGUGCCUAAUACAUGCAAGUCGAACGCACAGCGAAAGGUGCUUGCACCUUUCAAGUGAGUGGCGAACGGGUGAGUAACACGUGGACAACCUGCCUCAAGGCUGGGGAUAACAUUUGGAAACAGAUGCUAAUACCGAAUAAAACUUAGUGUCGCAUGACACAAAGUUAAAAGGCGCUUCGGCGUCACCUAGAGAUGGAUCCGCGGUGCAUUAGUUAGUUGGUGGGGUAAAGGCCUACCAAGACAAUGAUGCAUAGCCGAGUUGAGAGACUGAUCGGCCACAUUGGGACUGAGACACGGCCCAAACUCCUACGGGAGGCUGCAGUAGGGAAUCUUCCACAAUGGGCGAAAGCCUGAUGGAGCAACGCCGCGUGUGUGAUGAAGGCUUUCGGGUCGUAAAGCACUGUUGUAUGGGAAGAACAGCUAGAAUAGGAAAUGAUUUUAGUUUGACGGUACCAUACCAGAAAGGGACGGCUAAAUACGUGCCAGCAGCCGCGGUAAUACGUAUGUCCCGAGCGUUAUCCGGAUUUAUUGGGCGUAAAGCGAGCGCAGACGGUUUAUUAAGUCUGAUGUGAAAGCCCGGAGCUCAACUCCGGGAAUGGCAUUGGAAACUGGUUAACUUGAGUGCAGUAGAGGUAAGUGGAACUCCAUGUGUAGCGGUGGAAUGCGUAGAUAUAUGGAAGAACACCAGUGGCGAAGGCGGCUUACUGGACUGCAACUGACGUUGAGGCUCGAAAGUGUGGGUAGCAAACAGGAUUAGAUACCCUGGUAGUCCACACCGUAAACGAUGAACACUAGGUGUUAGGAGGUUUCCGCCUCUUAGUGCCGAAGCUAACGCAUUAAGUGUUCCGCCUGGGGAGUACGACCGCAAGGUUGAAACUCAAAGGAAUUGACGGGGACCCGCACAAGCGGUGGAGCAUGUGGUUUAAUUCGAAGCAACGCGAAGAACCUUACCAGGUCUUGACAUCCUUUGAAGCUUUUAGAGAUAGAAGUGUUCUCUUCGGAGACAAAGUGACAGGUGGUGCAUGGUCGUCGUCAGCUCGUGUCGUGAGAUGUUGGGUUAAGUCCCGCAACGAGCGCAACCCUUAUUGUUAGUUGCCAGCAUUCAGAUGGGCACUCUAGCGAGACUGCCGGUGACAAACCGGAGGAAGGCGGGGACGACGUCAGAUCAUCAUGCCCCUUAUGACCUGGGCUACACACGUGCUACAAUGGCGUAUACAACGAGUUGCCAACCCGCGAGGGUGAGCUAAUCUCUUAAAGUACGUCUCAGUUCGGAUUGUAGUCUGCAACUCGACUACAUGAAGUCGGAAUCGCUAGUAAUCGCGGAUCAGCACGCCGCGGUGAAUACGUUCCCGGGUCUUGUACACACCGCCCGUCACACCAUGGGAGUUUGUAAUGCCCAAAGCCGGUGGCCUAACCUUUUAGGAAGGAGCCGUCUAAGGCAGGACAGAUGACUGGGGUG